rnacentral:rRNA from 1 species
ACAUGCCUACAACAUAGUGUUAAUGCACUGGAACCCAUUAGAACUUCAUAGUUAAGAACGCUCAUAAUAGAGUAGUACUAGGAUGGGUGACCACCCAGCAAGUCCUAGUGUUUUACAUGCC